UUUCCGUAGGUGAACCUGGGGAAGGAUCAUUAGUGAACGCCCUCACGGGCUUAUAACUAUUCCAAACCUCUGUGAACCGUGCCCUUCGGGGCUAUUUUACAAACAUGGUGUAAUGAACGUCAUAUAUCAUAACAAAACAAAACUUUCAACAACGGAUCUCUUGGCUCUCGCAUCGAUGAAGACGCAGC
rnacentral:misc_RNA from 1 species